rnacentral:rRNA from 1 species
GUGAGGAAUAUUGGUCAAUGGACGAGAGUCUGAACCAGCCAAGUAGCGUGAAGGAUGACUGCCCUAUGGGUUGUAAACUUCUUUUAUAAGGGAAUAAAGUGAGGGACGUGUCCCUUUUUGUAUGUACCUUAUGAAUAAGGAUCGGCUAACUCCGUGCCAGCAGCCGCGGUAAUACGGAGGAUCCAAGCGUUAUCCGGAUUUAUUGGGUUUAAAGGGAGCGUAGGUUGACAUAUAAGUCAGCUGUGAAAGUUUACGGCUCAACCGUGAAAUUGCAGUUGAUACUGUAUGUCUUGAGUGUACAAGAGGUGGGCGGAAUUCGUGGUGUAGCGGUGAAAUGCUUAGAUAUCACGAAGAACUCCAAUUGCGAAGGCAGCUCACUGGGGUACAACUGACACUGAGGCUCGAAAGUGUGGGUAUCAAACAGGAUUAGAUACCCCGGUAGUCC